AGUGAACGCUGGCGGUAGGCCUAACACAUGCAAGUCGAACGGCAGCACAGAGGAGCUUGCUCCUUGGGUGGCGAGUGGCGGACGGGUGAGGAAUACAUCGGAAUCUACUCUGUCGUGGGGGAUAACGUAGGGAAACCUACGCUAAUACCGCAUACGACCUACGGGUGAGAGCAGGGGACCUUCGGGCCUUGCGCGAUUGAAUGAGCCGAUGUCGGAUUAGCUAGUUGGCGGGGUAAAGGCCCACCAAGGCGACGAUCCGUAGCUGGUCUGAGAGGAUGAUCAGCCACACUGGAACUGAGACACGGUCCAGACUCCUGCGGGAGGCAGCAGUGGGGAAUAUUGGACAAUGGGCGCAAGCCUGAUCCAGCCAUACCGCGUGGGUGAAGAAGGCCUUCGGGUUGUAAAGCCCUUUUGUUGGGAAAGAAAUCCAGCUGGCUAAUACCCGGUCGGGAUGACGGUACCCAAAGAAUAAGCACCGGCUAACUUCGUGCCAGCCGCCGCGGUAA
rnacentral:rRNA from 1 species